rnacentral:rRNA from 1 species
CCUACGGGAGGCAGCAGUGAGGAAUAUUGGUCAAUGGACGAGAGUCUGAUCCAGCCAAGUAGCGUGAAGGAAGACUGCCCUCUGGGUUGUAAACAUCUUUUAUAUGGGAAUAAAAUGUUCCACGUGUGGGAUUUUGUAUGUACCUUAUGAAUAAGGAUCGGCCAACUCCGCGCCAGCAGCCGCGGUAAUACGGAGGGUCCGAGCGUUAUCCGGAUUUAUUGGGUUUAAGGGGAGCGUAGGUGGAUUGUUAAGUCAGUUGGGAAAGUAUGCGGCUCAACCGUAAAAUUGCAGUUGAUACUGGCAGGCUUGAGUACAGUAGAGGGGGGUGGAAUUCGUGGUGUAGCGGUGAAAUGCGUAGAGAUCUCGAAGAACACCGGUUGCGAAGGCAGCUCCCUGGACUGCAACUGACACUGAGGCGCGAAAGUGUGGGGAUCAAACAGGAUUAGAUACCCUAGUAGUC